rnacentral:rRNA from 1 species
GACGAACGCUGGCGGCGUGCUUAACACAUGCAAGUCGAACGAUGAAGCCGGAGCUUGCUCUGGUGAAUUAGUGGCGAACGGGUGAGUAACACGUGAGUAACCUGCCCUUGACUCUGGGAUAACUGCGGGAAACUGUAGCUAAUACCGGAUACGACCCUCGGAGGCAUCUCCUGGGGGUGGAAAGAAUUUCGGUCAAGGAUGGACUCGCGGCCUAUCAGCUAGUUGGUGAGGUAAAGGAUCACCAAGGCGACGACGGGUAGCCGGCCGGAGAGGGUGACCGGCCACACUGGGACUGAGACACGGCCCAGACUCCUACGGGAGGCAGCAGUGGGGAAUAUUGCACAAUGGGCGCAAGCCUGAUGCAGCGACGCCGCGUGAGGGAUGACGGCCUUCGGGUUGUAAACCUCUUUCAGCACCGACGAAGCGCAAGUGACGGUAGGUGCAGAAGAAGGACCGGCCAACUACGUGCCAGCAGCCGCCGUAA